rnacentral:rRNA from 1 species
CAGCCGCCACGGGAAUACGUAGGUGGCAAGCGUUGUCCGGAGUUAUUGGGCGUAAAGCGCGCGCAGGCGGUUUCUUAAGUCUGAUGUGAAAGCCCCCGGCUUAACCGGGGAGGGUCAUUGGAAACUGGGAGACUUAGAGUGCAGAAGAGGAGAGUGGAAUUCCAUGUGUAGCGGUGAAAUGCGUAGAUAUAUGGAGGAACACCAGUGGCGAAGGCGACUCUCUGGUCUGUAACUGACGCUGAGGCGCGAAAGCGUGGGGAGCAAACAGGAUUAGAUACCCCUGUAGUCCCUGUCUCUUAUA